rnacentral:rRNA from 1 species
UACGUAGGGUGCAAGCGUUAAUCGGAAUUACUGGGCGUAAAGCGUGCGCAGGCGGUUUUGUAAGUCUGUCGUGAAAUCCCCGGGCUCAACCUGGGAAUUGCGAUGGAGACUGCAAGGCUAGAAUCUGGCAGAGGGGGGUAGAAUUCCACGUGUAGCAGUGAAAUGCGUAGAGAUGUGGAGGAAUACCGAUGGCGAAGGCAGCCCCCUGGGCCAAUACUGACGCUCAUGCACGAAAGGCGUGGGAGCAGACAGG